rnacentral:lncRNA from 1 species
GGUGUACAAGCUGGGCAAGAAGGGUGACCCUAGCCACGGCGCGGCCACCGACUUCGAUGUCACCAAGAAGGACAUCACCCCCAUGGGCGGCUUCCCCCACUACGGCAUCGUCAACGAGGACUUCCUGAUGAUCAAGGUAAGCACACGCUUUAAGCACGGAAGGGUGCUGAUGGAGUAUGCUGAUGAGCCCAGCAGUCAUGCGUUUUGACUGAGUGGCUCCUUUCAUGUAAACCUGUGAACCUGUAUGCUGAUGAGGCUGCUGACUAGCUAUGCAGGGCGCAUUUCGUCGCCUGCGUAGCAUGCUGGUGAGGACGCUGAUUAGCUGCGCACCGUGCCCUUGGUUGGCUUCUCAGCAUGCCUGCGAGGAGUGGUGCAGGACUGCAUGGACAUGUCCAGUGGUCACAAAGACCAGGAGAGAGUGUUGUGAUGCUUCCCAGGGAGAGCAUGGACCAGUGCAUGAGUGAAGGCCUCAAUUUGGCCAACUCAUGAGACAAUGAUGGUCCUGUUGGCAUCUCUCUUGUGUGGAGGAUGGUAUUGCGGCUCUCUCUUGGCAUCUCUCUUGUGUGGAGGGUGGCAUUGCGGCUCCAAAAGCGGGCAUGUGGUUGUAUGUGCACCGCUCAUGCCAUGCAGUGCUGAGAACAGAGCUUGGCCUUUCAUCAGCGUAUAGCCCGUCCAUGCUGUGCGCUGAUCUAUACCAUGCCACAUUUUUCCCUCCUGGUGUGCUGUAUCAGGAGAGGCUGCACAAUCCUGAGGAUCUGCUGCUGAGAGUUGCUUGCGUUCUUUGCUCGGCCUAUUCCAAAUUUGGACAUCCUAUGCUUCGUUUUUCCCUUGCUCAUUUUGAGGUGCACGGCAUUUGUACAUGGAGAUUAUAGUCUCAGUGCAUGCAAGUUGGCCACUGCAUUGUGUUGUGACAAUGUGCACUUCCCCUGUUGAUAGUGAGACAUAACGCUGCUGCAGAUGUCCAAGUUAUUAGCUUCAGGUUGUGCUGCGCGGAGCAAAAAGGUUUCUAGAUAUACCUGAAAGGGCACGUCUCACAGCAGCUGCUUGCUUGAAUUUUAUUUUUGAAUGAAAGCAGCACAAACUCACUGAUAUUCUCUGAUACCUCUGAUGCUUUUGAAGGGUGGUGUGCCAGGUACCACCAAGCGCCCCAUCACCCUGCGCCGCUCCCUGGUGCCCCAGACCAGCCGCACUGCCCUGGAAGAGAUCAAGCUUAAGUUUGUGGACACUGCCUCCAAGUUCGGCCACGGUCGCUUCCAGACAUACGAGGAGAAGGCCAAGACCUUUGGCC